rnacentral:misc_RNA from 1 species
UUUCCGUAGGUGAACCUGCGGAAGGAUCAUUAUUAGUGGCCAUGGCGGCCUUAAAGCCCAUGCCUCCCGGCAUGAACACACCCCAACCCGUGAACCAUCGACCUCGGUCGACACACACGCUUGCGAGUCCUGAACGUGACCAAACCACAAAACAGUAUAACUGUCAACAAUGGAUCUCUUGGCUCUCGCAUCGAUGAAGAACGCAGC